ACUUAUUUAGUAUAAAUAGUAUAUUUGACUUCCAAUCAAAAGGCCUAAUUAGAGUAAGUA
rnacentral:tRNA from 1 species